rnacentral:misc_RNA from 1 species
CUGAGUUAUAAAACUCCUAAACCACUGUGAAUCUACCUGUAGUUUGCUUUGGCAAGCGAUCCCGGGGGGAUCAGCUGCCCGGCCUUCGGGUUGGGUGCUUGCCAAAGAACUGCUAAACUCUUGUUAUUUUUGCUAUCUGAGCACUAAAUCCGUCCGCAAGGAUUGGAAAAAUGAAUUA